rnacentral:lncRNA from 1 species
CGAACAGCGCCUUUCAGUAUAACUAUGUCAGGCAGUAUAGUCUCAGUACAAUUAUGGAUAAAGUUAGUAAAUAGACAUUUAAAAACAUAUUAAUUUAUGCUUAACCACAUCAAGUGGAGAAUUCAGUGUGUGUAUUAAAAUAUAUUUUUAGGUUAACCAAGUGGCCCAGGACUGAACUUACCUGUUGCAUGGAGGAUCAUGGAGCCUACAAGAACAUGAAGAGAUCUUCGCAAGUUAUGGAAAAAGAAAAAUUGAAGUAUGAUGGUGAAAUAUGAGGAAACAGUUUGGCUGUUAAUCAGCAUAAGGAUGCUCCAUCUUGCUUGGAAAACAAAGCGCUUCAGUACCAAAAAGUUUCUUCAAAGAAACUCCCAGACUGUAACUUGUGCAGCUCUGCAGAGGGGAGCUCUCACUGUACUUCAAAGCGGAGAAAAUCCUGCAGCUGUCUGGAGCCCGCUUGCCCCAGGAGGUGUCACUGUUGGGACUGGCAGGAUGAUGAUGUGUUGAAUCAAUGUUGAUGAAGACUAUAUUUUGGCAACUUCAGUUAGAGCAAGAGAAUGAUUUCUGUUGUGAAGCAGAGGAUAUAAGAUCGGAA